CUGGCGGAGGCGAGGUUGGGCCGGGGACUCAUAAUCCCUGGGUCGCGGGUUCGAGUCCCGCCCGCCCUA
rnacentral:tRNA from 1 species